rnacentral:rRNA from 1 species
AGUGAACGCUGGCGGUAGGCCUAACACAUGCAAGUCGAACGGCAGCACAGUAAGAGCUUGCUCUUACGGGUGGCGAGUGGCGGACGGGUGAGGAAUACAUCGGAAUCUACUUUUUCGUGGGGGAUAACGUAGGGAAACUUACGCUAAUACCGCAUACGACCUACGGGUGAAAGCAGGGGAUCUUCGGACCUUGCGCGAUUGAAUGAGCCGAUGUCGGAUUAGCUAGUUGGCGGGGUAAAGGCCCACCAAGGCGACGAUCCGUAGCUGGUCUGAGAGGAUGAACAGCCACACUGGAACGGAGAAACGGUCCAGACUCCUACGGGAGGAAGCAGUGGGGAAUAUUGGACAAUGGGGGCAAGCCUGAUCCAGCCAUACCGCGUGGGGGAAGAAGGCCUUCGGGUUGUAAAGCCCUUUUGUUGGGAAAGAAAAGCAGCAGGUUAAUACGCCGCUGUUCUGACGGUACCCAAAGAAUAAGCACCGGCUAACUUCGUG